CUACGGGUGGCUGCAGUGGGGAAUUUUGGACAAUGAGGGAAACCCUGAUCCAGCCAUCCCGCGUGUGCGAUGAAGGCCUUCGGGUUGUAAAGCACUUUUGGCAGGAAAGAAACGUCGCGGGUUAAUACCCUGCGAAACUGACGGUACCUGCAGAAUAAGCACCGGCUAACUACGUGCCAGCAGCCGCGGUAAUACGUAGGGUGCAAGCGUUAAUCGGAAUGACCGGGCGUAAAGCGUGCGCAGGCGGUUCGGAAAGAAAGAUGUGAAAUCCCAGAGCUUAACUUUGGAACUGCAUUUUUAACUACCGGGCUAGAGUGUGUCAGAGGGAGGUGGAAUUCCGCGUGUAGCAGUGAAAUGCGUAGAUAUGCGGAGGAACACCGAUGGCGAAGGCAGCCUCCUGGGAUAACACUGACGCUCAUGCACGAAAGCGUGGGGAGCAAACAGGAUUAGAUACCCUCGUAGUC
rnacentral:rRNA from 1 species